rnacentral:tRNA from 1 species
GCCUGGCUGGCUCAGUGGGUAGAGCAUGUGACUCUUGGUCUCACGUUCAUGAGUUCAAGCCCCAUGUAGGGCA